GGUGUUUAAAGCUCCAAAGGGUGCCAAGCCUUCUCACUCCCUGGCAUCAUGGGCACCUGGGCCUUCCUCGCGGCCCUUUUCCUUCUCUGCCUGACUUCUGAGAGCCUACAAGGCGGCUUUGGGAGCCCAAAUGGCUACCGACAAGGCUACGGCACCUCCAGUGGGCUGGGAGCAGGAUUUGGGAAGGGGAAUCAGCUAAGAUCCCAGCCAGGCCCUCCAGCUCAGAAGGGCUAUGGAGCAGGCACUGGAGGGAGUGUGAAACCUCAGAGGCCAGGGUAUGGAAACAGGUAUAGGCUGGGAGCAGGACCCAUUCCAGGUGCUGCAGCCCAGCCAGGCUUUGGAGCGGGUAUGAAGCCCCAGAAGCCAGGAUAUGGAACUAGGAUGGCAGCUGGAGCCUUCCCAGGGGUGGGAGCCCUGCCUGGUCUGGGAGGAGGCGUGAAGUCUCAGAAAUCAGGAUUUGCCAAUGGAAAUGCCCUGGGGGCCCAGCCAGGUUCUGCAGUUCUGAGUGGCUUUGGAGCAGGCUUUGGAUGGGGUGGAAAACUCCAGAAGCCAGAAUUUGGAGUCAGGAAUGGACUGGGAGCUGUGGCCUUCCCAGGAGCUGGAGCCCAGCCAGGACCUAUAGUUCAAAAUGGUUACGGACCAGGAUAUGGAGGGGGCAUGAAGGCCCAAAAGUCAGGCCUGACAGUCCAGAACAGAUUCACAACAGGCUUUGGAGGGGUCAUGAAGCCCCAGAAGCCAGGUUACGGCAAUAGAAACGGAAUGGGAGCUGGCCUAGGCCCUGCAGCUCCAAAUGGCCAUGGACCAGGCUGUGGAGGGGGUGCAAAGCCCCAGAAAUCAGGUAUUGGGGAAGGCACACAGCCCCAGAAGCCAGGGUACACACCAGGGAAUGGCCAGGAGCUCCCACCAGGAUAUGGCAAUGGAAAUGGGCUGUCGACCCAGCCAGGUCCUUGCAGUGGGGGAGUCAUUCCACUGCUCCUCCCCAGGCCUCCCACUCCAGGAGUUCCUUCAGAUAAAGGGGGUGGCUGGAGCCAGGAAUCCCAGCCCUCUCCCCUAGUGCAGAAUGGCAAGUUCCCAGGCUUUGGUGGUGGUGACCUCCAGCUGCAGGAAGUUGGUGAGCCCUCCUGGCCCGACCCUCAGGUGGAGCUGGCUUCUCCCUUAUGGCGAGCCCCCUACUACUCCUCUCUCGUCUCUGCUGCUUUUUUAAUUUUCCUUCACAUAUUUGCUACCUGCUGUGCCAUAAUGGUGGCUGGAACUGUGAGUGAUCCUGUGUCAGGUGAGGGUCUGUCUGAAGUCAUGGGAGAAGAAGGAGCAGCUUUAGAAGCUGCCCAGAGGGAAGUCAGAGGUUUCCAGAGGCAGCAGCCGGAAUUUGAAGUUGCACUCUUGUUCCUGGACGAGGAUGGUGGGAGAGACCAGGCAGUGGAGUAGCUGAGAUGAGCCCUCUCCAAGUGGCCUCUGAGUUCUGAGUUAAUCUGCCUACCUUUCCUAUCACUAAAAGUUGGUCACCUGACUCCCCAUGCCAUCCCUGACUCCACCCUCCAAUCUGUCUCCUGCAGGUUUGGGUUAUGGGAAUGAUGCUCUGGGCACUGGGGUCUCCCUGGAGGCCUGCUGAAAGCAAGGGUUCCCUGAGGCCAACGACUUUA